UACGGAGGGUGCAAGCGUUAUCCGGAUUUACUGGGUUUAAAGGGUGCGCAGGCGGAUAUGUAGGUCAGUGGUGAAAUCUCCGGGCUUAACCCGGAAACUGCCGUUGAUACUAUAUAUCUUGAAUGCCGUGGAGGUAAGCGGAAUAUGUCAUGUAGCGGUGAAAUGCUUAGAUAUGACAUAGAACACCUAUUGCGAAGGCAGCUUACUACACGGAGAUUGACGCUCAUGCACGAAAGCGUGGGGAUCAAACAGG
rnacentral:rRNA from 1 species